CCUAUUGCCCGGUUGUAAAAUUAUCGCAAUUUUACAUAGAAAAAUACCCUAAAGGAUUGAUUGUAAACAUCGUUUGACGUGUUUCUACAAACGGUAAUGGAACUUUUGACCAUUUCGUCUAUGGAUUUGCGUCCAUGCCACAUGGCAUUGUAAAGUGUUCUGGAUGGGUCAACAAAACGGACGUAUUUGGACAUAAAUGAUGGACUUUGCAGAACAAAUGAACAUUUCUUGUGGAAGUGGUUGCCCUUCCGAGUGCAUUCCGCCGAAGAUCAGCAAAGGAGUGUCAUCUGAUGAAGAUUGUCAUAGAGAUCAACCAAGUGCUAUUCACCAAGCAUGAGCUGGUUCAAUCACCUGUGAGGAGAACCAUCCUGCUGCAGUUUUAACUUGCCCUGCCAUCACCAUUUAAACAUUGGGACCGCAUAUGCAUUUGCCUGUUGUCUUUUCUUUGUGGAUGUGAUCUUACACAGUCUAGUGCAUUUUAGAGUUGAC
rnacentral:lncRNA from 1 species